rnacentral:lncRNA from 1 species
UUGCCGAGCUGCGCCAGCGAGUUGGCCUUGGCGCGCAGCAGCAGCGCGUCCUGCGCCGCCUUGACGUUCUCCGGCACGCCGCCCCACGUCUUGAGGCAGGUGUUCUGCAGCGCCCGCGCGUAGGAGAAGGACACGUGCCACGGGUUGGGCCCCUGGUUCAUGGCGUUGAGGUUCUGCGUCGCCUCCACCUCCGACUGCCCGCCGGAGAGGAACAUGAUGCCGGGGACGGAGGGCGGGAUGCGGCGGUGGAGGAGCUUCAGGGUGUACUCGGCGACCUGCUCCGGCGUGGCCCGGUCCUUAGCCUCGGCGCCCGGCGUCACCAUGGAUGGCUUGAGCAGGAUGCCCUCGAACAUGACGUUGUUCUCCGCCAUGGCGUAGAAGGUCUCGGCCCACACCUUCUGCGCCACCUCGAAGGUCCGCUCGAUGCCGUGCUCGCCGUCCAGCAGGAUCUCCGGCUCUACGAUCGGCACAAGUCCGUUGUCCUGCUCG